UACGGAGGGUGCAAGCGUUAAUCGGAAUUACUGGGCGUAAAGCGCACGCAGGUGGCUGAGAAAGUCGAUUGUGAAAGCCCUGGGCUUAACCUGGGAAUUGCAGUCGAAACUACUCGGCUAGAGUAUGGGAGAGGACAGUGGAAUUCCCGGUGUAGCAGUGAAAUGCGUAGAUAUCGGGAGGAACAUCAGUGGCGAAGGCGGCUGUCUGGCCCAAUACUGACACUCAGGUGCGACAGCGUGGGGAGCAAACAGG
rnacentral:rRNA from 1 species